rnacentral:rRNA from 1 species
UACGUAGGGUCCGAGCGUUGUCCGGAAUUAUUGGGCGUAAAGGGCUCGUAGGCGGUCUGUUGCGUCGGGAGUGAAAACUUACAGCUUAACUGUGAGCGUGCUUUCGAUACGGGCAGACUUGAGGCAUUCAGGGGAGAACGGAAUUCCUAGUGUAGCGGUGAAAUGCGCAGAUAUCAGGAGGAACACCGGUGGCGAAGGCGGUUCUCUGGGAAUGUCCUGACGCUGAGGAGCGAAAGUGUGGGGAGCGAACAGG